CCCACCAAAGCGACGAUCAGUAGCCGACCUGAGAGGGUGACCGGCCACAUUGGGACUGAGACACGGCCCAAACUCCUACGGGAGGCAGCAGUGGGGAAUAUUGCACAAUGGGCGGAAGCCUGAUGCAGCGACGCCGCGUGAGUGAAGAAGUAUCUCGGUAUGUAAAGCUCUAUCAGCAGGGAAGAAAAUGACGGUACCUGACUAAGAAGCCCCGGCUAACUACGUGCCAGCAGCCGCGGUAAUACGUUGGGGGCAAGCGUUAUCCGGAUUUACUGGGUGUAAAGGGAGCGUAGACGGCGACGCAAGUCUGGAGUGAAAGCCCGGGGCCCAACCCCGGGACUGCUUUGGAAACUGUGCUGCUGGAGUGCAGGAGAGGUAAGUGGAAUUCCUAGUGUAGCGGUGAAAUGCGUAGAUAUUAGGAGGAACACCAGUGGCGAAGGCGGCUUACUGGACUGUAACUGACGUUGAGGCUCGAAAGCGUGGGGAGCAAACAAGAUUAGAUACCCUGGUAGUCCCCCCCGUAAACGAAUGAAAAUAAGGGGUCGGGGGGCAAAGCCCUUCGGGGCCGCCGCUAACGCAAUAAGCAUUCCCCUGGGGGGGUACGUUCGCAAGAAUGAAAUUCAAAGGAAUUGACGGGGACCCGCACAAGCGGUGGAGCAUGUGGUUUAAUUUGAAGCAACGCGAAGAACCUUACCAAGUCUUGACAUCCCCCUGACCGGCGCGUAACGGUGCCCUUCCUUCGGGACAGGGGAGACAGGUGGUGCAUGGUUGUCGUCAGCUCGUGUCGUGAGAUGUUGGGUUAAGUCCCGCAACGAGCGCAACCCUUAUCCUUAGUAGCCAGCACGUCGUGGUGGGCACUCUAGGGAGACUGCCAGGGAUAACCUGGAGGAAGGUGGGGAUGACGUCAAAUCAUCAUGCCCCUUAUGAUUUGGGCUACACACGUGCUACAAUGGCGUAAACAAAGGGAGGCGACCCUGCGAAGGUAAGCAAAUCCCAAAAAUAACGUCCCAGUUCGGACUGUAGUCUGCAACCCGACUACACGAAGCUGGAAUCGCUAGUAAUCGCGGAUCAGAAUGCCGCGGUGAAUACGUUCCCGGGUCUUGCACA
rnacentral:rRNA from 1 species